rnacentral:piRNA from 2 species
UAAAAGCAUGCAGGGCGUCGGCUCU